UACGUAGGGGGCAAGCGUUGUCCGGAUUUAUUGGGCGUAAAGAGCGUGUAGGCGGCUUUACAGGUCCGUUGUGAAAACUCGAGGCUCAACCUCGAGACGCCGGUGGAAACCGUAAAGCUAGAGUCCGGAAGAGGAGAGUGGAAUUCCUGGCGUAGCGGUGAAAUGCGCAGAUAUCAGGAAGAACACCCGUGGCGAAGGCGGCUCUCUGGGACGGUACUGACGCUGAGACGCGAAAGCGUGGGGAGCGAACAGG
rnacentral:rRNA from 1 species